rnacentral:rRNA from 1 species
UACGAAGGGAGCUAGCGUUGUUCGGAAUCACUGGGUGUAAAGCGCACGUAGGCGGAUGUGUCAGUCAGGGGUGAAAUCCCGGAGCUCAACUUCGGAACUGCCUUUGAUACAGCACGUCUUGAGUCCGAUAGAGGUGGGUGGAAUUCCUAGUGUAGAGGUGAAAUUCGUAGAUAUUAGGAAGAACACCGGUGGCGAAGGCGGCCCACUGGAUCGGUACUGACGCUGAGGUGCGAAAGCGUGGGGAGCAAACAGG